AAGAUCACAUACUGUUUCCUGCUUGCAGGGACUCCUGGCGUCGAAACACGUCACCAUCAGCGCCUUACAGGACGACGUGGCUCGAGAGUCCAAGGAGUACGAGGACCUGCUGCGCACCUGUGGACAGGCCCCGAGGGUCCCGCGGCACAACCUCGCCUCCCCUUACAAGGGGUUAUAAUGCUAUGUUUUAUUUUAUUUCAUUUGUUUUUUACAGAACCUUGUCUAAAAAUAAAUGGGGAAGACAUUGAA